UCACAUCAUCUUAAAAAACUGGUUCCCAUACGAUCCCCGAAGUUAAGCUAUAUAGAGCCCGGUCAGUACCUAGAUGGGUAACCGCUUGGGAAUACCAGAUGUUGUAA